rnacentral:rRNA from 1 species
UCGGGAAUUUUGGGCAAUGGGCGAAAGCCUGACCCAGCAACGCCGCGUGAGGGAUAAAGUAUUUCGGUAUGUAAACCUCGAAAGAAUGGGAAGAAUAAAUGACGGUACCAUUUAUAAGCUCCGGCUAACUACGUGCCAGCAGCCGCGGUAAUACGUAGGGAGCAAGCGUUGUUCGGAUUUACUGGGCGUAAAGGGCGCGUAGGCGGCGCGGUAAGUCACUUGUGAAAUCUCUGAGCUUAACUCAGAACGGCCAAGUGAUACUGCUGUGCUAGAGUGCGGAAGAGGCAACCGGAAUUCUUGGUGUAGCGGUGAAAUGCGUAGAUAUCAAGAGGAACACCUGAGGCGAAGGCGGGUUGCUGGGCCGACACUGACGCUGAUGCGCGAAAGCCAGGGGAGCAAACG